AAGGAAGGAUUAGAAAAACGCAAGCACUGCUAAUCCUUGCUCCCACGGUUAAAAUCCGCGGCUUCCUUG
rnacentral:tRNA from 1 species